rnacentral:lncRNA from 1 species
UCUUUCUCUUUAUAAAUUACCCAGUCUUGAGUAUGUCUUUAUCAGCAGUGUAAAAACGGAUGAACAUACACCGUAAAUGUGACUUUUAUCAUUCAUUUAAGCAUCCUGUUUAUAAAAAUGUAAAUAAUCCAUUUUCACAUAUGCUGUGUUUUCGAUAAAAUAACUUGCUUAAAUCCAAUCCUGGCAUCAUAGAUAAUUUAAGCCAUGGUUUUCUGAUCCCGUCCUCUUUUGUGACUCCAGUCCCACAGACAGGAACCAAAGCCAGCAGAACAAAGCAGCCCCAGAUGUGUUCUACUCUAUUAUCUGAAGUAAAUGAAAAUCAACCCUGAGGUAGAGAACCUCCUUCUACUACCAUCAAAGUCCUUGAUCUGUUUCCCAACAUGAAUUAACCUUUCCAUGUUUUCGUUACAUUUGAACAUCAGGAAUGUGUAGACGGAAGCAGUUCAUCCUGGGAGGACUUCAAGCAGUAGAAUGAGGCCAACCUGCAAAACUGACCUGUCAUGCCCUGCCUCACCAUCUUAUCCAGUCCUGGACUCAACCAGCUGAACUAAUCCCUAAACCACCAAGUCUACCUUAGAAAAACAGUUCUGGAGGCUGCAAGUCCAAGAUCAAGGUGUCACCAUCAUUGGUUGCUUCUGGGGGCUGUUGAGAAAGAACGUGUUCCAUGCCUCCCACCUAGCAUCUAAAGAAGUGACAUCUUAUUGAUGAGUUGUGGAGAAGCUGCUGAACAUGCAUCUGUAUUUGGGAG